AGAUGUUCUCAGUGCAGUGUGUGAGUGUGUGAGGGAGUAAGCGACCAAAGGAGCCCAGAGGAACAGGUUCACAGAGUUGACCUGUUGAAGAUGCUUUGCGUUAAGAGGGAGAGAGAGGCUGCAGAUACGGGCCAGCUGUACAGGUCUCGCCCUGAGCACGUGUGAGGCCCCGGGUUGAUACCUAGCGCGGCAGAAUUCAUAAAGGAAGAGAGUGGGGAAGGGGAGGAGUCAAAGCGGCUGGUUGGUUUUAAUGUCAGCUUGCCACGAGGUACCCACGGCCGAGGAGGGAGCAUCGCCUGAAGAACUGUCCUGUUUGCCUUAACUGAUGCAAGAAAACAGCCCCCUAUUGUGGUUGGCACCUUCUGGCAGCAGCCAGGAUUCAAAAGGUCUUUUGAGCAUUUGGCCUUCCCUCCUGCUACCAAGUCAAUCCACCUGCUGCUGCUGCGUCCCUGAUGCACUGUUUCCAAGCUUCAGUUGCGGACUAAGGACCUCUCUAGGGAACGUACAGGGUUUUGCCUCCAGAUUGGGACUCCCGGGGCCUCCAACUUCGUGACUGAACAGCAAUAGGGUUGUUGGCCUCGGGAACCCUGACUGGUACGUGGACGGAACACACGGAGAGCGGAGAAGUGUUCCCUGUGGCUGGGAGAAAACUGGAGAAGGCGCAGCACUGCCCGGCGGCCAGUUCGGCGGAACUCCUGCGUUCAUCUCCCGAUACACCAGGAAGAAAGCAGGAAGGACAAUCUUGUAUCUACGCACAUGUGCAUGCGUGUGCCCCUGCACGCGUGUUGAAGGAGGCAUUGAGAUUGGGUUCGUCCAUCUGAUGAAAGGAAAGAAUGAAUGAACACUUGCCAUAGAAGGCACUACUAAAUAUGUUGUGGUUGUGGGAAAGAUGGGAAAGACAGGAGACCUGCUCCAGCCCUCUUCAAAAUAUGACCAUAAAAGGUUUUCUCUAGUCAAGGGCCUUGCCUGCAGGGGGAAUCAUUUGAGGAAGAAUUCUCAACUGGUGGACAGCAGGGUUGUGGACAGGCAGGCAAUUGAGUAGUCUGCACCUCAGUUGGAGACAGGAAGCAAGCUGGUUCCUCACGCACACUCCAGGUGUCCUCUGGAGCUCUGCAGUCUAAGAAAGCUGUCUAAAGAGAGCUGACUCAUCACGCUACCAACUCCCUCUCUUCUAGUAUUUCUCUGCUGUGUUCUCUCUAUCCCCGCCCUUCCCUGAAUGCUAAGGAUGGAGGUUCAAUAGAAGGUUACCACUUGGGGUGGGUUGGGAUAUAAGCUCAGUCCCUGUCACACUGUGUGACUGCAGGAAGACCUUACUGGGUUUACUACCCUCUGAACCUGAGGGUUUUGUCAUCUUCAAAAUGUCAGUGCUCUGCUCUGAAGGCUUUGGUAUCCCCUUCGAAGUCACACGAUGAGACCCCAGCUCCCAAGUUAUGACAGGAGUCGGGAUGUUUAAGGAAGUCGUGAGGGUUCUACCUUCCUAGAGUAAAUGCCCUUUAUAGAAGAGGCAAGAGAGAGACCUCUUGUUCCUUUCCAUGAGGGACAGUGAAGAUGGGGGUUUCUGUGCCUCCUGGUCCCACAGCCUUUUAGCCCCAAAUAAACACAUGGGCACUAUAUUAAUCGUUAAACUGUUUGGCUGAUGGCUCAGGCUUUUUAUUGGCUAGCUCUCUCUUAAUUAUUAAUCCAUUUCUAUUAAUCUAUAUAUUGCCAUGAGGCCAUAGCUUAUCCAUAAUCUGGCAUAUUACUCCUUUGGCAGCAGCAUGGCAUUUCUUGGUGGCCCAUCUUUCUCCUUUCCCCAGCAUUCUCCUCCUCUGGUAGCCCUGCCUAUACUUCCUGCCUGGCUGCUGGCCAAUCAGUGUUUUAUUCCUCAGCCAAUAAGAGAAACACAUAUACAGAAGGACAUCCCCCAUCAAGACAGAAUGGAUGGGGCACUCUCAUGUAGAGUUUGUUCUCUCUAUCAUUUUGUGGGUUCCAGGGAUCAAACACUGGUCUCCAAGCUUGAUGUAUGUGCCCUUACCCACUGAGACAUGUCAUCACCCUGUGAAUGCUUUUAUGUUCUAUCUUGAAAGGGCAGAUCUGUACCCCCUAAUGUAGGAAGGGGUUUAUGUGUAUACAUUAUCAACAGCUUAACAUAGUCUGCUGGUGGGUUCCUUGCUGUCUUUCCUUUGUCUUGACGUUCCUCCACAUAUUUCCCAUUUUUUUUCUGAUAGUAUAAGAGCCUACCUGGUUUUUUUUUGGGGGGGGAGUGCAGGUAGGGCAAGAAAGGAGCUAAUUUUUUAUAAAGUCCUUUAUUACCACCCUAGUUAGGGUUUCUAUUGUCAUAAUAAAACACCAUGACCAAAAAACAA